rnacentral:rRNA from 1 species
AACGAACGCUGGCGGCAUGCCUAACACAUGCAAGUCGAACGAGACCUUCGGGUCUAGUGGCGCACGGGUGCGUAACGCGUGGGAACCUGCCCUUAGGUUCGGAAUAACUCCCCGAAAGGGGUGCUAGUACCGGAUAAUGUCUUCGGACCAAAGAUUUAUCGCCUUUGGAUGGGCCCGCGUUGGAUUAGCUAGUUGGUAGGGUAAAAGCCUACCAAGGCGACGAUCCAUAGCUGGUCUGAGAGGAUGAUCAGCCACACUGGGACUGAGACACGGCCCAGACUCCUACGGAAGGCAGCAGUGGGGAAUAUUGGACAAUGGGCGAAAGCCUGAUCCAGCAAUGCGGCGUGAGUGAUGAAGGCCUUAGGGUUGUAAAGCUCUUUUACCCGGGAUGAUAAUGACAGUACCGGGAGAAUAAGCUCCGGCUAACUCCGUG